UACGGGGGGGGUAAGCGUUGUUCGGAAUUACUGGGCGUAAAGGGCUCGUAGGCGGCCAACUAAGUCCGACGUGAAAUCCCCAGGCUUAACCUGGGAACUGCGUCGGAUACUGGAUGGCUUGAAUUCGGGAGAGGGAUGCAGAAUUCCAGGUGUAGCGGUGAAAUGCGUAGAUAUCUGGAGGAAUACCGGUGGCGAAGGCGGCAUCCUGGACCGACAUUGACGCUGAUGAGCGAAAGCUAGGGGAGCAAACGGG
rnacentral:rRNA from 1 species